rnacentral:tRNA from 1 species
UGGCUCAAUGGUAGAGCGUUCGACUCAAAUACCAAAGGUUGGGUUCGAAUCCCA